AUACGUAGGAACCAAGCGUUGUCCGGAAUUACUGGGUGUAAAGGGUGCGCAGGCGGAUUUGUGCGUCAAGGGUUAAAUACCUCGGCUCAACCGAGGAAAUGCCUUUGAUACGGCAGGUCUUGAGUACGAGAGAGGAUGGUAGAAUUCCUGGUGUAGCGGUGAAAUGCGUAGAUAUCAGGAGGAAUACCCGUGGCGAAGGCGGCCAUCUGGCUCGUUACUGACGCUCAGGCACGAAAGCGUGGGGAGCAAACAGGAUUAGAAACCCCAGUAGUCC
rnacentral:rRNA from 1 species